rnacentral:rRNA from 1 species
UACGUAGGGUGCAAGCGUUGUCCGGAAUUAUUGGGCGUAAAGAGCUCGUAGGCGGUCUGUCGCGUCGGCUGUGAAAACCCGGGGCUCAACCCCGGGCCUGCAGUCGAUACGGGCAGACUAGAGUGCGGUAGGGGAGACUGGAAUUCCUGGUGUAGCGGUGAAUGCGCAGAUAUCAGGAGGAACACCGGUGGCGAAGGCGGAUCUCCUGGGCCGAUACUCGCUGAGGAGCGAAAGCCAG